AACGCUGGCGGCGUGCCUAACACAUGCAAGUCGAGCGAGAAGCUUUUGAAUGAAACUUCGGUAGAUUUUAAAAGUGGAAAGCGGCGGACGGGUGAGUAACGCGUAGGCAACCUGCCCUUAGCAGGGGGAUAGCCAUUGGAAACGAUGAUUAAAACCCCAUAAUGCAGAGGAUUCACAUGUAACUUCUGCCAAAGAUUUAUCGGCUAAGGAUGGGCCUGCGUCUGAUUAGAUAGUUGGUGAGGUAACGGCUCACCAAGUCGACGAUCAGUAGCCGACCUGAGAGGGUGAUCGGCCACAUUGGAACUGAGACACGGUCCAAACUCCUACGGGAGGCAGCAGUGGGGAAUAUUGCACAAUGGGCGAAAGCCUGAUGCAGCAACGCCGCGUGAAGGAUGAAGGUCUUCGGAUCGUAAACUUCUGUCCUUGGGGAAGAAGAAAGUGACGGUACCCAUGGAGGAAGCCCCGGCUAACUACGUGCCAGCAGCCGCGGUAAUACGUAGGGGGCGAGCGUUAUCCGGAAUUAUUGGGCGUAAAGAGUGCGUAGGUGGUCAAUUAAGCGAGAGGUUUAAGGCUACAGCUUAACUGUAGUUCGCCUCCCGAACUGAUUGACUUGAGUGCAGGAGGGGAAAGCGGAAUUCCUAGUGUAGCGGUGAAAUGCGUAGAUAUUAGGAGGAACACCAGUGGCGAAGGCGGCUUUCUGGACUGAAACUGACACUGAGGCNCGAAAGCGUGGGGAGCAAACAGGAUUAGAUACCCUGGUAGUCCACGCGUAACGAUGACACUAGGUGUCGGGGAUGACCUCGUGCCCAU
rnacentral:rRNA from 1 species